ensembl:lncRNA
AAAGGCUUGGCAGCUGAGUUGAUAAGUAAUCCUCUGAGUGUGUUGGGUUGAAGUGUGGAACAUGAGCUUCGGAAAAACAGCAAGUCUUCUCUGCCCCUCCCUGACCUUCCCUCACCACCACUAUGUCUUACAAGCCAAGUGGCUUGCAGGUUGGAAGGGGUGAUGCACGGCGCAGAGCCCCAGAGAGAGGCUUUCCCAAUGACAGUCAUGCAAGAGACAAAUCAAUGUUGGAGGAAUUAGUCACCAGCAGACCCACACUAUAAGUAACAUCGGAAGGAAUUGUUCAGGCUAAAGGGAAAUGAUAGUACAUGGAAACUCCAGUUUGCCCAAAGGAAUCACGCCAUCAAUGGCAAGCACGUAGAUAAGUUCAUCCAUCCAUCACCACAGUCAAGCUUCAGAACAGUUCUAUCACCACAAGGUGAUGGAGCUUCCUCCAGUACAUACUCUCUGCCAAGGCCAAGCCCAAAUCACAGCCCAUACUCAGACAAAGCAAAAGACUCCAGAGAAAAAAGUGGUGUCAGUCUCAGCGCAAUGAAGAACAGCUCUUCCUUCUACAGAAUUUUGGUUCAUCUAAUCAUCUUUGUUUCCACAGCUCUCUGAUGUCUUCAAAAAAGUAUGAUUUGGUAGUUUAUCAAGGUAUUUCUAGUUAUUACAAAGAGUGAUGCUCUUCUACUACUUAUGAUAUACUGCCCUGAGUUGGAUAUUCUACUUUAUACUACUACUUUUCUUUUUCCCCAUCAAAUUGCCUUGGAAAAAAUCGAAUAAUCACAUAAAUGUAAGUCCAUUUAUGGUCUCCAUUUUUCUGUUCCAUUGAUACAUGCCUGUACUUCUUCCAUUACUACAUGUUGAAAAUAUUGUAGGCUAUUGUAUGUCUUUAAAUAAGGCAAUAAAUCCUCCAAAUGUGUUUUUCUUCUUUAAGAUUGUAUUGCUUAUUCCAGAUUUUUUCCAUAUGAAUGAUAGAAUAAGUUUGUCAAUAUCUAGCAGAAAAACCUGUAGAGAUUUUGACUGUGAUUAUAUUUCACUUAUAUAUCAGUUUGAGAAGAAACAACUUCUUAACAAUAUAAUGUCUUCCAAUUCAUUAGCAUGCCUUAUUUCUCCGUUACUUAGAUUACCUUUAAUUUCUUCCAGUAAAGUUUUUUACUUUCUGUGUAGAGGUCUUUCAAGUCUCUUGUUAAAUGUAUUCCUAAGUAUUUUAUGUUUCUUUUAAUGCUAUUAUAAAAUAAAUUGUUUUAAAUAUCAUUUUCCAAUGGUUUGCUAUGAAAAUAUAAAAACUAAAUUGAUUUUUGUGUUGACCUUGUAUGUUGUGACUUUGUAGAAUUCAUUUAUUGGUUUUAAAGUGGCUUUAUUUUCAUAAUAUUCUACACAAUCUUAUCAUCUGUGUAAAAAAAGAAUUUUGCUUCUCCUUUUCCAAACUUAGUGCCUUUUAUUUCAUCAUCUUGCUUUAUUGUAUUAAGAUCUACAAUACUAUGUUUAAUAAAUGAGUGAGAGCAGACAACCUUGCCUUCUUAAAAUCCUAAGGAGAAAGCAUACAUUUUUCACCAUUAAGUAUAAUAAAUCUGCAGAGUUUUCAUGAAUAUCCAUUUGUUGCUUGCUAGACAUUUUUUGGCCAUAAAUAG